rnacentral:rRNA from 1 species
GUGGCCACCAAUAUCCACCUGGAUCAACCGGAUCCCAUUAGAAUUCCGUAGUUAAGCACGCUCAGGCUAGAGUAGUACUAGGAUGGGUGACUGCCUGGGAAGUCCUAGUAUUUUACAUG